rnacentral:rRNA from 1 species
CGGUAACAGAUCCAGCUUGCUGGAUGCUGACGAGCGGCGGACGGGUGAGUAAUGCAUAGGAAUCUGCCCGAUAGUGGGGGAUAACCUGGGGAAACCCAGGCUAAUACCGCAUACGUCCUACGGGAGAAAGGGGGCUCCGGCUCCCGCUAUGGGAUGAGCCUAUGUCGGAUUAGCUAGUUGGUGAGGUAACGGCUCACCAAGGCCACGAUCCGUAGCUGGUCUGAGAGGAUGAUCAGCCACAUCGGGACUGAGACACGGCCCGAACUCCUACGGGAGGCAGCAGUGGGGAAUAUUGGACAAUGGGGGAAACCCUGAUCCAGCCAUGCCGCGUGUGUGAAGAAGGCCCUCGGGUUGUAAAGCACUUUCAGCGAGGAAGAACGCCUAGCGGUUAAUACCCGCUAGGAAAGACAUCACUCGCAGAAGAAGCACCGGCUAACUCCGUGCCAGCAGCCGCGGUAAUACGGAGGGUGCAAGCGUUAAUCGGAAUUACUGGGCGUAAAGCGCGCGUAGGUGGCUUGAUAAGCCGGUUGUGAAAGCCCCGGGCUCAACCUGGGAACGGCAUCCGGAACUGUCAAGCUAGAGUGCAGGAGAGGAAGGUAGAAUUCCCGGUGUAGCGGUGAAAUGCGUAGAGAUCGGGAGGAAUACCAGUGGCGAAGGCGGCCUUCUGGACUGACACUGACACUGAGGUGCGAAAGCGUGGGUAGCAAACAGGAUUAGAUACCCUGGUAGUCCACGCCGUAAACGAUGUCGACCAGCCGUUGGGUGCCUAGCGCACUUUGUGGCGAAGUUAACGCGAUAAG